GAUGAACGCUAGCUACAGGCUUAACACAUGCAAGUCGAGGGGCAGCAUGGUCUUAGCUUGCUAAGGCCGAUGGCGACCGGCGCACGGGUGAGUAACACGUAUCCAACCUGCCGUCUACUCUUGGACAGCCUUCUGAAAGGAAGAUUAAUACAAGAUGGCAUCAUGAGUCCGCAUGUUCACAUGAUUAAAGGUAUUCCGGUAGACGAUGGGGAUGCGUUCCAUUAGAUAGUAGGCGGGGUAACGGCCCACCUAGUCUUCGAUGGAUAGAGGUUCUGAGAGGAAGGUCCCCCACAUUGGAACUGAGACACGGUCCAAACUCCUACGGGAGGCAGCAGUGAGGAAUAUUGGUCAAUGGGCGAGAGCCUGAACCAGCCAAGUAGCGUGAAGGAUGACUGCCCUAUGGGUGGUAAACUUCUUUUAGAAAGGAAUAAAGUCGGGUAUGGAUACCCGUUUGCAUGUACUUUAUGAAUAAGGAUCGGCUAACUCCGUG
rnacentral:rRNA from 1 species